rnacentral:rRNA from 1 species
UACGUAGGGUGCGAGCGUUAAUCGGAAUUACUGAGCGUAAAGGGCUCGUAGGCGGCCAACUAAGUCGGAUGUGAAAUCCCCAGGCUCAACUUGGGAACUGCAUCCGAUACUGGAUGGCUUGAAUUCGGGAGAGGGAUGCAGAAUUCCAGGUGUAGCGGUGAAAUGCGUAGAUAUCUGGAGGAAUACCGGUGGCGAAGGCGGCAUCCUGGACCGACAUUGACGCUGAUGAGCGAAAGCUAGGGGAGCAAACGGG